CAGUCGCCGCGGGAAUACGUAGGGUGCAAGCGUUAAUCGGAAUUACUGGGCGUAAAGCGUGCGCAGGCGGUUAUAUAAGUCAGAUGUGAAAUCCCCGGGCUCAACCUGGGAACUGCAUUUGAGACUGUAUGGCUAGAGUGUGUCAGAGGGGGGUAGAAUUCCACGUGUAGCAGUGAAAUGCGUAGAUAUGUGGAGGAAUACCGAUGGCGAAGGCAGCCCCCUGGGAUAACACUGACGCUCAUGCACGAAAGCGUGGGGAGCAAACAGGAUUAGAUACCCGCGUAGUCCCUGUCUCUUAUCC
rnacentral:rRNA from 1 species